rnacentral:rRNA from 1 species
AAUCUUCCACAAUGGACGAAAGUCUGAUGGAGCACCGCCGCGUGAGUGAAGAAGGUUUUCGGAUCGUAAAGCUCUGUUGUGAGGGAAGAACAAGUACAUGUGUCACUGUCUGUACCUUGACGGUACCUCACCAGAAAGCCACGGCUACCUACGUGCCAGCAGCCGGGGUAAUACGUAGGUGGCAGGCGUUGUCCGGAAUUAUUGGUCGUAAAGCGCGCGCAGGCGGUCCUUUAAGGCUGAUGUGAAAGCCCACGGCUCAACCGUGGAGGGUCAUUGGAAACUGGAGGACUUGAGUACAGAAGAGGAAAGCGGAAUUCCACGUGUAGCGGUGAAAUGCGUAGAGAUGUGGAGGAACACCAGUGGCGAAGGCGGCUUUCUGGUCUGUAACUGACGCUGAGGUGCGAAAGCGUGGGGAGCAAAC